UAAAGUUGUUGCGGUUAAAAAGCUCGUAGUCGAAGGUGUGUCUCGGACGGUCGGUUCGCCGCUUGUCGGUGCUCAACUGGCCGGUCCGGACGUCCUGCCGGUGGGGCCGCGAGGCUCCGUUAUCCUUCUUUGGUCCUCUUCACCGAGUGCCUUGGUGGGCCGGCACGUUUACUUUGAACAAAUUAGAGUGCUCAAAGCAGGCCGUUGGUCGCCUGAAUACUGUGUGCAUGGAAUAAUGGAAUAGGACCUCGGUUCCAUUUUGUUGGUUUUCAGAACUCGAGGUAAUGAUUAAUAGGGACGGACGGGGGCAUUCGUAUUGCGACGUUAGAGGUGAAAUUCUUGGAUCGUCGCAAGACGAACCGAUGCGAAAGCAUUUGCCAAGAACGUUUUCGUUGAUCAAGAACGAAAGUUAGAGGUUCGAAGGCGAUCAGAUACCGCCCUAGUUCUAACCAUAAACGAUGCCAGCUAGCCAUCCGCCGAAGUUCCUUCUAUGACUCGGCGGGCAGCUUCCGGGAAACCAAAGCUCUUGGGUUCCGGGGGAAGUAUGGUUGCAAAGCUCAAACUUAAAGGAAUUGAC
rnacentral:rRNA from 1 species